rnacentral:rRNA from 1 species
CAGCAGCCGCGGGAAUACAGAGGGUGCGAGCGUUAAUCGGAUUUACUGGGCGUAAAGCGUGCGUAGGCGGCUUUUUAAGUCGGAUGUGAAAUCCCUGAGCUUAACUUAGGAAUUGCAUUCGAUACUGGGAAGCUAGAGUAUGGGAGAGGAUGGUAGAAUUCCAGGUGUAGCGGUGAAAUGCGUAGAGAUCUGGAGGAAUACCGAUGGCGAAGGCAGCCAUCUGGCCUAAUACUGACGCUGAGGUACGAAAGCAUGGGGAGCAAACAGGAUUAGAUACCCCUGUAGUCCCUGUCUCUUAUCU